GGUGGAUACCUAGGCACUCAGAGACGAGGAAAGGCGUAGUAAGAAAUGAAAUGCUUUAGGGAGUUGCAAAUAAGCGUAGAUCCAAAGAAUUGCGAAUAGGUUAACCUUUCAAACUGCUGCUGAAUCCAUGGGCAGGCAAGAGAAAACCUGGUGAACUGAAACAUCUUAGUAGCUAGAGGAAAAGAAAGCAAAAGUGAUUCCCGUUAUAGCGACGAGCGAAAUAGGAGUAGAAUAAACCAUGAAAAUAGGGUUAUGAGAGAGCAAUACAAGUGUCGUGCUGCUAGGCAAAGCAAUCGAGUGUUGCACCCUAGAUGGCGAGAGUCUAGUAGACGAAAGCAUCACUACCUUAAACUCUGACCCGAGUAGCAUAGGGCACAUGGAAUCCCAUGUGAAUCAGCAAGCACAACUUUGCAAGGUUAAAUACUCAUGAGUGACUGAUAGUGAAAUAGUGGGAAGAGAUCAGAACUCUGACCACGUGCCUGUUGAAGAAUGAGUUGGCGACUCAUAGGCAGUAGCUUGGUUAACGGAACCCAUAGAGCAGUAGUGAAAGAAAGUCUUGAUGGGGCAAUUGUCAUUGCCUAUGGACCCAAACUUGGGUGAUCUAUCCAUGACCAGGAUGAAUCUUAAGUGAAACUAAGUAAAGGUCUGAAUCGACUAAUGUUGAAGAAUCAACGGAUGAGUUGUGGCUAGGGUUGAAAUGCCACUCGAACUCAGUGCUAGUUGGUUCUCUCCGAAAUGCAUUGAGGCACAGCAGUUGACUGGACAUCUAGGGUAAAGCACUGUUUCGGUGUGGGUCGCUUACUGUACCAAAUCGAGGUAAACUCUUAAUACUAGAUAUGAUCUCAAAAUAACAGGGGUCAAGGUCGGCCAAUGACACGAUGGGGGAUAAGCUUCAUUGUCGAGAAGGAAACAACCUGAAUCCUCAGCUAAGGCCUCUAAAUGACCGCUCAGUGAUAAAAGAGGUAGAGGUGCAGAGACAACUAGGAGGUUUGCCUAGAAGCAACCACCCUUGAAAGAGUACGUAAUAGCUCUCUAAUCGAGCGCUUUUAUCUCGAAGAUGAACAGGCUAAGCAAUCUGUCAAAGCUGUGAGAUGCCAAAACGUAUCGGUAGGGGAGCUCCAUCUUAGAGGGAAGCAACUGCGUGAGUAGUUAUGGACGAAGGUAAAGCGAGAAUGUCGACUUGAGUAAUGCAAACAUUGGUGAGAAUCCAAUGCCCCAAAAAACCUAAGGGUUCUCCUGCAAGGUUCGUCUACGGAGGGUGAGUCAGCAACUAAGAUCAAGUUGAAAGGCAUAAUCGAUGGACAACAGGUCAAUAUUUAUGUACUACCCCUUGUUGGUCCCAAGGGACGGAGGAGGCUAGGUUAGCCAAAAAUGGUUAUCUGUUCAAGAAUGCAAGGUGCCCCUAUUUUUUAGGGUAAGAAGGGAUAGAGAAAAUACCUCGAGUCAAUGUUCGAGUACCAAGCACAACGACACUGAAGUAACCCAGGCCAUACUCUAAAAAAAAGCUCGAACGACCUUCAACAAAAGGGUACCUUUACCCUAAACCGACAUAGGUGGGUAGGUAGAGAAUACCUAGGGGUGCGAGACAACUCUCUCUAAGGAAUUCAACAAAAUAUCCCCAUAACUUUGAGAGACAGGGUGCCUCCGCACAAAGGGGGUCACAAUGACCAAGCUCGAGUGACUAUUUACCAAAAACACAGGUCUCCACAAAGUUGGAAGACCAUGUAUAGGGGUUGACGCUUACCAAGUGCCGGAAGGUCAAUGAUGACAAGGUAGCCAGCAAUUGAAGCUCCGAUGAACAGUGGUCGUAACUAUGACAGUUCUAAGGUAGUAAAAUUCCUUCUCGGGUAAGUUCUGACUCGCACGAAAGGCAUAACGAUCUAGGCACUAUCUCAGAGAGAUUAGGCUUGGUGAAAUAG
rnacentral:ncRNA from 1 species